rnacentral:rRNA from 1 species
AAGGAAUAUUGGUCAAUGCCCGCAAGGGUGAACCAGCCAUUCCGCGUGGAGGAUGAAGGCCCUAUGGGUUGUAAACUUCUUUUAGAUGGGAAGAAAAUGCUAGAUGUAUCUGGUACUGACGGUACCAUCAGAAUAAGCUCCGGCUAACUCCGUGCCAGCAGCCGCGGUAAUACGGAGGGUGCGAGCGUUAUCCGGAAUUACUGGGUUUAAAGGGUGCGUAGGCGGAUGAUUAAGUCUAAGGUGAAAGUUUGUCGCUUAACGAUAAAAUUGCCUUGGAUACUGGUUAUCUUGAAUAAGGAUGAGGAUGGCGGAAUGUGGCAUGUAGCGGUGAAAUGCAUAGAUAUGCCAUAGAACACCAAUUGCGAAGGCAGCUAUCUGGUCUUUUAUUGACGCUGAGGCACGAAAGCGUGGGGAUCGAAC